UAACGCGAAGAACCUUACCCAGGCUUGACAUCCCAAUGAAUGCCCGGCAAUGCGGGCAGGCCCUUCGGGGGCAUUGGAGACAGGUGGUGCAUGGUUGUCGUCAGCUCGUGUCGUGAGAUGUUGGGUUAAGUCCCGCAACGAGCGCAACCCUUACCCCCAGUAGCCAGCAGUAAGAUGGGAACUCUGGGGGGACUGCCGGGGACAACCCGGAGGAAGGUGGGGAUGACGUCAAAUCAUCAUGCCCCUUAUGCCUGGGGCGACACACGUGCUACAAUGGCGUAAACAGAGGGAAGCGAACCCGCGAGGGAGAGCAAAUCCGGGAAAUAACGCCCCAGUUCGGAUUGCAGGCUGCAACCCGCCUGCAUGAAGCCGGAAUCGCUAGUAAUCGCGGAUCAGAAUGCCGCGGUGAAUACGUUCCCGGGUCUUGUACACACGCA
rnacentral:rRNA from 1 species